rnacentral:rRNA from 1 species
CGAAGCCGCGGUUCGCCGCUCUUGUGAGCGGCGGAGGUAGGGGAGCGUUCCGAGCGCGGCGAAGGCCGACCGGAAGGUCGACUGGAGCGCUGGGAAGUGAGAAUGCCGGUAUGAGUAACGAAAAGAGGGGUGAGAAUCCCCUCCGUCGAAAGCCUAAGGGUUCCUGAGGAAGGUUCGUCCGCUCAGGGUUAGUCGGGGCCUAAGCCGAGGCCGGAAGGCGUAGGCGAUGGACAACAGGUUGAAAUUCCUGUACCACCGAAAGGCGUUUGAGCGAUGGGGUGACGCAGGAAGGCAAGGCGAGCGCGCGGCCGGAAGAGCGCGUCCAAGCCGCAAGGCUGGUGGCGAGGCAAAUCCCGCCACCGGAAAGGCUGAGCGGUGAUGGGGAGGGAACUUAAGUACCGAAGCGCCCGUGCUUACACUGCCGAGAAAAGCCUCUAGCGAGUCUUUCGGUGCCCGUACCCCAAACCGACACAGGUAGGCGAGGAGAGCAUCCUAAGACGCUCGGGAGAACUCUUGUUAAGGAACUCGGCAAAAUGACCCCGUAACUUCGGGAGAAGGGGUGCUCCGGUAGGGUGAUGAGCCCGAGGGAGCCGCAGUGAAAAGAUCCAAGCGACUGUUUAUCAAAAACACAGGUCUCUGCCAAACCGAAAGGUGACGUAUAGGGGCUGACGCCUGCCCGGUGCUGGAAGGUUAAGGGGAGGGCUUAGCCGUAAGGCGAAGGUCCGAACCGAAGCCCCAGUAAACGGCGGCCGUAACUAUAACGGUCCUAAGGUAGCGAAAUUCCUUGUCGGGUAAGUUCCGACCCGCACGAAAGGCGUAACGACUUGGAUACUGUCUCAACAAGAGACCCGGUGAAAUUAUAGUACCUGUGAAGAUGCAGGUUACCCGCGACAGGACGGAAAGACCCCAUGGAGCUUUACUGCAGCUUGAUAUUGGAUGUCGGUAUCGAUUGUACAGGAUAGGUCGGAGCCGGAGAAGCCGGGCCGCCAGGUUCGGUGGAGGCGACGGUGGGAUACGACCCUAUCGGUACGGACAUUCUAACCCGGCACCGUGAUCCGGUGCGGAGACAGUGUCAGGCG